AAGGGUGCGUAACACGUGGGGAAUCUGCCGAGAAGUGGGGGAUAGCUCGUCGAAAGGCGAAUUAAUACCGCAUGUGGUUAGGGAAGACAUCUUUCCGAUACCAAAGCCGGGGCAAUCUGGCGCUUCUUGAUGACCCCGCGGCCUAUCAGCUAGUUGGUGAGGUAACGGCUCACCAAGGCUAUGACGGGUAGCUGGUCUGAGAGGACGACCAGCCACACUGGAACUGAGACACGGUCCAGACACCUACGGGUGGCAGCAGUCGAGAAUUUUUCUCAAUGGGGGAAACCCUGAAGGAGCGACGCCGCGUGGAGGAUGAAGGUCUUCGGAUUGUAAACUCCUGUCAUUUGGGAACAAUGUGCAGUCGUUAACUGCGAUUGCAUUGAUAGUACCAGAAGAGGAAGAGACGGCUAACUCUGUGCCAGCAGCCGCGGUAAUACAGAGGUCUCAAGCGUUGUUCGGAUUCAUUGGGCGUAAAGGGUGCGUAGGUGGCGCCAUAAGUCAGGUGUGAAAUCUCGGGGCUCAACCCCGAAACUGCACUUGAUACUGUGGUGCUCGAGUACUGGAGAGGAGAUUGGAAUUU
rnacentral:rRNA from 1 species